rnacentral:rRNA from 1 species
GAUGAACGCUGGCGGCGUGCCUAAUACAUGCAAGUCGAGCGAACAGACGAGGAGCUUGCUCCUCUGACGUUAGCGGCGGUCGGGUGAUUAACACGUGGAUAACCUACCUAUAAGACUGGGAUAACUUCGGGAAACCGGAGCUAAUACCGGAUAAUAUAUUGAACCGCAUGGUUCAAUAGUGAAAGACGGUUUUGCUGUCACUUAUAGAUGGAUCCGCGCCGCAUUAGCUAGUUGGUAAGGUAACGGCUUACCAAGGCAACGAUGCGUAGCCGACCUGAGAGGGUGAUCGGCCACACUGGAACUGAGACACGGUCCAGACUCCUACGGGAGGCAGCAGUAGGGAAUCUUCCGCAAUGGGCGAAAGCUUGACGGAGCAACGCCGCGUGAGUGAUGAAGGUCUUCGGAUCGUAAAACUCUGUUAUUAGGGAAGAACAAAUGUGUAAGUAACUAUGCACGUCUUGACGGUACCUAAUCAGAAAGCCACGGCUAACUACGUG